rnacentral:rRNA from 1 species
GAGGAAAGCUGGCGGCUUUCUUCCCACCUUCACUUCGAACUUAAAUGCCCAAGCUUGCUUUUUUACUCUAGUGGCGAACGGGUGAGUAACACGUGGGUGAUCUGCCCUGCACUUCGGGAUAAGCCUGGUAAACUGGGUCUAAUACCGGAUAGGACCACAUUUUUUAUGGUUCGGUGGAAAGUUUUUCGGUGUGGUAUGAGCUCGCGGCCUAUCAGCUUGUUGGUGGGGUAAUUGCCUACCAAGGCGUCGACUUGGCGCCGGCCUGAGAGGGUGUACGGCCACAUUGGGCAUGCGAUACGGACCAGACUCCUACGGGCGGCAGCAGUGGGGAAUAUUGCACAAUGGGAGAAAGCCUGAUGCAGCGACGCCGCGUGGGGGAGGAAGGGAGGCGGGUUGUAAACUACUUUAGCUAGGGACGAAGAGAAAGUGAAGGGAAAUGGAGAAGAAGCAAAGGAGAAAGACGGG